GGGGGCAUAGCUCAGCUGGUAGAGCGUCUCGUUCGCAAUGAGAAGGUCAGGGGUUCGACUCCCCUUGCCUCC
rnacentral:tRNA from 1 species